rnacentral:rRNA from 1 species
GUGCCAGCAGCCGCGGUAAUACAGACGGUCCAAACGUUAUUCGGAAUCACUGGGCUUAAAGAGUUCGUAGGCGGUCAGGAAAGUGGGGUGUGAAAGCCCUCGGCUCAACCGAGGAACUGCGCUCCAAACUCCCUGACUCGAGGAGGCUAGAGGUAAGCGGAACUGAUGGUGGAGCGGUGAAAUGCGUUGAUAUCAUCAGGAACACCGGAGGCGAAGGCGGCUUACUGGGGCCUUUCUGACGCUGAGGAACGAAAGCUAGGGGAGCGAACGGGAUUAGAUACCCCGGUAGUCC